rnacentral:lncRNA from 1 species
ACACACACACCAGCUGAAACAGGAGAAGGAAGCAGAAAAAAUCGAGAAAGAAAGAAAAGAGAAAGGAAAGAGAGAAAGAAGAAAUGAAAGAAAGGAAAAAAAAAAAGGAAAAAAAAAGUAGGGUUGGCUAUUCCAAUUUCAUCUUCAAUUUGACAAAUUUCUUGGUAUGUUUUAUGCUUAAUUUUUUUAGGGUUGCAAUUUAUUGGUUUAAUUUCCAGAUUGAAGGAAAGGAUAUGUUUGCAAGCCAAUAUUUUUGAAUUGGAAAGGCUACUUAUAUUAAGGUAUGAAAUACCAAUUUUGGAAAAAAACCUUGAAUUUUUAUUUGGGUUUUUGAAUUAAUAUAGUUAUCAGGAAUAAUUGUAGAGAUGAAAUACUCAUCUGAAGGCAUGAAUUUAUGGAGCAAGAUGGAAAAUUAAAUUGAUUAAAUUAUAAUUAUUAGUUUUACUAGUUUGGAAGAAGGAAUUAUUUUUAUGUUUGGAGUGAAGAUUAUUUUGAUGAAUUAGAUUUUAAUGAAAGGACUAGAAGGUAGAAUUAGUUCCAACUAUGAAGGAAAUUAAAGAAUAUAUCCAAGUGUCGAGAAGUCGAGCAUUUCGUACUUAAAGUUAAGAAUACUUGGUAGGAUGGUUGUUAAAUUGGUUAUCUUGUAUCAUAUUUCAGGAGAUGACGAGUCCAUUACUUGGUGAGUAGAUAUAAAAACUUAUUUUUCAGAAAUUAAUAUUUAUUAAAUUUAUGUUAGAUUAGAAAAUUUAUUAUUUCAAACAGUUAAUUUGACAGCAUGAUUUUUAGGAUAAAGUGGAUUUAUAGUCAAUUAUUUUAAAGUUAAUUUCAGUUCAGUUAAAUCAUUUUCUUAGCAUGUUACAUUCGUAUUAAAUAGUUCAGCAUAUUUAAAUUAUUUUCUAAAAAUCACCAGAAAGUACCCAGGUGAUUUUACCACAGUCUACACUGGUGUGAAUGUGUUUCCACAGUGUAUGACUAGUUAUGGUGAUUUUACCCGCUCUGCACUACUGUGAAUGUGUUUUCAUAGUGUAUGACCAAAUUAUUAGAUUAUCAAAGAUCUUUGGGACCCACUCUCAUACACACAUAGGCUUUGGGCCGUGUACUAGGGUGAUUAGCCUUUGGGACAGCUCCGCGACGUAUGAACAGAUUAUCAUAUUAUCAUAUUUGAGUGGCUUUGCCUUGUACAUCGAGAUUACUCUGUACAUGAGUAAGGCUAUUCAUUGGGUACCUUUUUGGUGGGAUUUUUCAGUAUUUCUACAGCUUAUUACAUUUCAGAUUAUAGAAUGCAGUUUUUAGAAUAGAGCUUUCAGCUUAUAGUAUUGAUCAGCAACAAUAUUUCAUAGAUUUUCACAGAUGUCAUAGUAUUUAUAUUCGUUACAUUUUACAGUUACUUAUUUAAAAUGAAGAACAAAGAAUUUUAUGAUGUAUUCAUGUUUGAUUGUAAAAACUGUUACCAGAUUUCAGAAUUUCUUAAAGUUUCAAUAGAGUAAGAAUUUUCAGAAAAAAUGUAUAAAUGAGAAAAGUAUACUUAUUUGCAAAUCAUCCACUCACUGAGUUACAAACUCAUGUUUUGCCACCCUUUUUCUGAGCAGAUAGUAGCAGAGUUGAGCAGUCUUGGAGCCUGUCAAUUCACCUAAUUGAGCCACACGUCAGUAGCUGUAUAGCCUACUUUAUCAGAUUAUUAUUUGAUAUCUUUAGUACGUUUGGGGACCUUUGGUUGUAGAGUAAAGUUAUUAUCGAUAUGCUCGUAUUCUAUUUGAAUAGUUUAGAUUUUAAGGGGCUGGUGUACCUUAUUUUAUAUUAUAUGUAUUGAUUUGAGGAAAAUUGGUAAUUUUUCAGGUGAUUUAAGUUCAUAUUUUAGGGGAAAUUCUAUCAAAAUUGUGUUAAAAAUAUUUUUCAGUCAAGCAAGUCAAGUUACAUUGGUGGUAGGUCCAACAUUUAGCUGGUAUCUACCACCGACGCACGACAUGUGUCAGAUCUAUUAGGAUGAUUUGGACAAGUCGUGUCAAUUGGUAUCAGAGCAUGGUUCAGUGGUUGUUAAGCUCGAGUAAUUAAUGAGUUUUUUUUUCGAAUAGUAUGUCAUUGAGAUUAUUAGCGGUGGCAUGGUGGCAGAACUAACAGGCUCCAAUGUGGUAUUUGAAACUCAUAUUGGCCUUGAUAAUGAGGGUACGGCAUCUAAGAAACAAGAAUGAACUUUAUUGAUUUGAGCAUAAUAAGUAUAAGGAUGUUAUUGAGAAUUAUCCGAUGGUAAUGGAGUUGUUAGAGUUGUCAUGUUGGGGCCAUGUUAUAUUUUCUCUAAUAUAUUAAAAGUUGCACUAUAUAUCCAGCAGCCAGUUAAGUGAAAAGUAUAACUUUUCUUCGUAAUGAGAUUUAUUGGGUUAUGAGUUUCUUUUAUGACUAUUAGAGGAAAAUGUCAUAUAGAUGCCUUGGAUGAUAAAUAUGAUCUAAUGUUGAUAUAUGUAAAGUUGGUGAUAUUACGAGAUGAAAUCACGAUUGUUUUGUAAAUCUAAAGGAUUGUGCUAUUAUGAGAAUUAUUGUGGAAAUUAUGAUCAUAUUUAGUAUAUGGAGGAAGAUGCAUAUAUUAGAAAAUCAAGAUGUGGAGAUAUGAUAAGGAAUCUUGUUUAUGACAAAUAAAUAAAUAAUGAAACCAUAUGGAAUGUUGAUUCCCGACAAAAAAUGGUGUUAUUAAAUAUGUUUUACUUUGCGAUUUUGAGUAAAUUAAUGUGAUCGUGGCCUACCUUUUGUUGAUUCUGGAACAAGCAAGUAUCUAGGUUUGUACUUCAACUACUAUUGAAAGAAAGAGGAUUGGAAUUUAUGUUGAUAUGUGUGUAUCUAAUGGGUGAUAUGAAUAAGAAAUAGCAUAAAGAUGAAGAACACGAGAAAAUUAGCAUGAUUAAAUGUUGAGAUCAUACGAUAUUAAGAUAUCGAUUUAUGAUUCCAAAGGGCAUUGUGAAUGGUAGUGCACUAAAUUUAUAAUUAAUGGUACGUCAAAAUAAUAUUGGGAUGAUAUAUUUAGAAUGCAAAGUGAAAUACUCUUCCCAUGACCAUGAUUGGGAUUAUUGUGUUAGAUUAAAAUAGAUUGAAACGACAUGUUAAAUUGUAAGUAUAAGUUGAGUUCUAUGAGUUUUGUGUUGCUAUUGGAUUACUAUCUUUGCAAUUGUGAUUUUGGAUUUCAUGAAUUAAGAAUUUCAUUCUCAUCGAAGUAAUAUGAUAAGGAAUUCAUGGAUGACAUGUUACCUUAUUGUCAAGACUAGGAUUAAAGAAUGUUUAUUUUGGAUAUUAAGGUAACUUAGCUAAGGUUAUUCUAGCAUAAAACUUUUAUAGAUAUUUGAAGAUCAGCAAGGAUUUGGAUUUACAUUGCAUUAUCGAGGUCAUGGCGCUCUAGUGUGGGAAAUAAAUUUGGUGUCGAGAUGAUAUUUAUUAAAAAGGAAAAAUGGAAUCUUGAUGGUAUAUUCUUGUGUGAAAUGUUGCUUGAUAGUUAUAAAGAGCACUAUUUUUGUGAUCCUAAGGAAAUCAGUAUAAUCAAAUGUUUGAAGUUAUACAAUGUGACCAUAAAUAACAAGGUUACAUGAUAUAGUGAAUAGCAAGUGAAGAAAUGUUAUGGUCGUCCUAUAGCCAAAUAAUGUGAUGAGAUAUUUUGGUUAUUAAUUAACUUUGUCAAGGCCAUUUGUGGAUUAUUAUAUUAUAUUACAUACAACCUAUAAGCUUCGAGCUAAAUUUGGAAGUUAAGGUGAAUUUAAUGAAUUUUUAGUAAUGUCAAGUUUGGGAGAUUUUCGAUUGUAUUUUUAGAUCUCUCAAAUAAAGUAUUCCAUUCUUAUCGAGAUCUAUAAGUUUUGGAACAUAUGGAGGAUGUGUUGGAUGGUUUAAAGUCUCAAAUGAUCAUUAAAUUUAAAUUUUAUUAAAUUGUGGAAUGGUAUCUUUAGGUUAUAAUAUUAAUUGAAGGUCUUUGUGCAAUAUACAAGAAGGCUUAUGCAUUGGUAAUAGGUCAAUGGCCUCUUUAUGGAAUAAGAGUAUAGAAUUAUCAUGGAUUAAAUGUUAUUAUUGUAUUUUCAUAGAAAGAAAGAGCACCAAAAUCUUGUGGGUUUAGAAAUGUCAAAAGCUUUGCUAUCAGAUUACAUUAUGAUGAAAUAUGUACUCCCGUAUCUAAAGCUGAUGAGGGCCUGAUUUAUGAUAAUGAUUUAUAUUAAGGUUUAUAAAGUAUGCUGAAGUAAAUGAUGAAUUAUGGAUAUUAUUAUAGAUUGUUAAAGAGGUAUGACUAAGACAUGUUUUAUUGUUGGUUAUAUUGGGGUUGGAGUUAGAAUUUGUGGUGAUAUAUUCUUGCUAGAAACAUCGAUACUUAUAUAUCACCGUAGUUUAAGGUAUAUUUCAAUUUGAAAGGGUUGAAAUGGGUUGAAUUGAAGUUGUGUAUAUAUUAUCAUUGGUUGAUAUAGAAUUAAAAGAAAAGGAACAUCAUACUGAGCUAUCUCAAUUAUUGUUGGGGAUAACUAAAAUUUUAGAAAACCAUUAAUAAUUGAAAAUUUCGCAGAUAAUGUUAAUUUAGAAUUAGAGUAGCUACCCACAAUCAUUUUUUGAUUUGGAUUCCAAAUAUACAGAAUGGAGACAAAAUGGUAUUUGAAUCAUUGUUGAUAGAUCGAUAAAGGUUACAAGAAUUCUUUUCAAAUGAUAUAGUCAGUUCAUGAAAUGGAAUUAUUAAAUUAUAAUUAGAUAAGAUUUCUGUUUAUAUGGAGUUUGAGUAUCUAUCUUUGGCUUAGGGAGUUAUAUAACUAAUUGUGUAGCUUCUUGGAAUGUUAGACACUACGAGGACAAGUUCAGAAGGCAGGUUAUCAACUACAUUUGUAGAACCCCAAAUAAUUCUAGACACCUUAGUGGCAGUAAGAUAUGAAUAUUUGAUAAUUAAAGUAUAUUUCAGAUUUUUAGUCUCAUUUGAGACCCAUUUUCGACAUAGGAAACAUUCGAUUUGGAAAAUGAUAUUUAAAUAAAAGUUGUAGCUCUUUGAGUUAGCUUUCCAAUGCACUUUGAAUUACCUCAAUCGGAUAUCAGGAGAAGAAGUUAUGAUAGAAACACUGAAAGCUGUGCAGUGUCAACCGAACUAUAACCGGUCGACCGAAAUUGCCUGAAAUGAAAAUUCUCGUUUUUCUCUAGAAUUUAAAUAUUUAUUUUCAUCAAUUAUUUUCUCAAAGGGCCACCCACAUUUUUGACAAUAAAAACCCCACUAAAUUGAAGCAUUUAACCUCAAACUUAAAUGGCACCCAUGUUUUCUCUCUUAAAUGAAAUUUGGCCCUUCAUUUGCUUUAAGUUACGGGAUAUUUACCUAUAAAUAGAGACCUCAUUUCACUCAUUUUUUUUCACACCAAAAGCAAGAGCUUUUACAUACUAAAGAAAGAGUUUCCAAGAGAGAAAAAGAGGGAGGAAAACUAUUUUUCCUAGAAGUUUAAGAAGUGUUUUCAAGCAUCAAUUCUCAACAGUUUUCAAACAUCCAAGGAGUACAUUUCUUUCAACAUCCAAGUUUCAUCAAAGUUUUCAAUCCAAGUUUUCAAAGUUUCAAAAACAUUAGUUAAGGUAGGUAGAGGUGCAAUGUGUUUAAUCAUGUUAAGUUAUAAGUUUUGAUUCAUACUAAUGUUUGUAUGUCAAAUGGUACUCCGAUAUGGCAUAUCCCUCUAUGUUAAUGGUUGUAUGUCAAAUGAUACUCUGGUACGGCAUACCCCUCUAUGUUGAAGAAAUGUUCGUAUGUUAAAUGGUGCCCUCGGGUACGGUAUACCCCUUCAUGUCAAAUGGUGCCUCCGGGUACGGCAUGUAUGAAAAGUUAUAAAAUUAAUAUUUUGAAAUGUAUAACUUGAUCACGAAUGCACCUAUGAUAUUUAUUGAGUUUUUCAACUCACGGAUUUAAUCUCAUCUCUACAGAUUGAAGGAAUUCUACAUCGGGCAUGGAUGGAGGAGAAGAUGGAGAGUGAUGCAACGAGCCCAUGGAAAUCCGGUGAAUAAAUGAUUUGAAUUUAUUUUUAUGAAAUGUUUUCCAAAGUUAUUUCUUUAAAGUUUUGAAUAACGCAGAAUGCGAGAACAAGUUAUGUUUUAUUCAAAUAAAUUACAUUUUGUUGUUUGAAAAAUGAUUCAG